GCAAGUCGAGUGGUAACAGAGGUAGCUUGCUAUCUGCUGACGAGCGGCGGACGGGUGAGUAACGCGUAGGAAUCUACCAAACAGUUGGGGAUAGCCAGUAGAAAUGCUGAUUAAUACCGAAUACGCUCUACGGAGGAAAGCAGGGGAUCUUCGGACCUUGCGCUGUUUGAUGAGCCUGCGUUGGAUUAGCUAGUUGGUGGGGUAAUGGCCUACCAAGCCUACGAUCUAUAGCUGGUUUGAGAGGAUGAUC
rnacentral:rRNA from 1 species